GAGAGGCUAUGAGGCCACCAACUCCCUCCCUUUGUGACAAGUUGAGAUGUAGUUUGCCUAGUCUGGUCUUUAUCACCUGUUUUCCCGAGAGAUGAGUUUCAGGCCCAGGCGCUGGUACCACACAUGUGAACAUUAGGCAACUGUUCCUACAUGGGUAGACUGUGUCCCGACAGUCUCACUGCGUACGUAGCCCAGACUGGCCCGGAACUCAGAGAUCUGCCUGGCUCUGCCUCCUGAGGAUGGGAUUAAAGAGCAUUCCAGCCAAGCAGAGGGGUGCCUGCUUCAGAACCUUCACAUGGAUCGGUCCCUAACUCUUCCCCCAUCUGCAAAAUUCAUCUUAAAUAAACACUGUUCACAAUUUC